rnacentral:rRNA from 1 species
UUCGGGAUGCCGGCGAGUGGCGAACGGGUGAGUAACGCGUAGAUACCUGCCCUAUGGUGGGGAAUAACGUCUAGAAAUGGACGCUAAUACCGCAUAAGCCCUAUGGGGGAAAGAUUUAUUGCCAUGGGAGGGGUCCGCGUCGGGUUAGCUUGUUGGUGGGGUAACGGCCUACCAAGGCGACGAUCCGUAGCUGGUCUGAGAGGAUGAUCAGCCACACUGGGACUGAGACACGGCCCAGACUCCUACGGGAGGCAGCAGUGGGGAAUAUUGCGCAAUGGGGGAAACCCUGACGCAGCGACGCCGCGUGGGUGAAGAAGGCCUUAGGGUUGUAAAGCCCUUUCAGUGGGAAAGAUGAUGACGGUACCCACAGAAGAAGCUCCGGCUAACUCCGUGCCAGCAGCCGCGGUAAUACGGAGGGGGCUAGCGUUGUUCGGAAUUACUGGGCGUAAAGGGCGCGUAGGCGGUUGAUCAAG